rnacentral:rRNA from 1 species
UACGUAGGAUGCAAGCGUUGUCCGGAUUUAUUGGGCGUAAAGCGAACGUAGGCGGCUUCUUAAGUUUGGUCUUAAAGACCGGGGCUCAACCCCGGGAAUGGACUGAAUACUGGGAGGCUAGAGGAUGUCAGAGGAAAGUGGAAUUCCCGGUGUAGCGGUGAAAUGCGCAGAUAUCGGGAAGAACACCCGUGGCUAAGGCGGCUCUCUAGUACGGUACUGACGCUGAGACGCGAAAGCGUGGGGAGCGAACAGG